AUUGAACGCUGGCGGCAGGCCUAACACAUGCAAGUCGAGCGAGCGGCGGACGGGUGAGUAAUGUAUGGGGACUGCCCGAUAGAGGGGGAUAACUACUGGAAACGGUGGCUAAUACCGCAUACUAUCCGAUAACCCAUAUGGGAUUAGCUUGUAGGUGAGGUAACGGCUCACCUAGGCGACGAUCCCUAGCUGGUCUGAGAGGAUGAUCAGCCACACUGGGACUGAGACACGGCCCCGACUCCUACGGAGGCAGCAGGGGGGAAUAUUGCACAAUGGGCGCAAGCCUGAUGCAGCCAGGCCGCGUGUAUGAAGAAGGCCUUCGGGUUGUAAAGUACUUUCAGUCGGGAGGCGUUACCCACAGAAGAAGCACCGGCUAACUCCGUGCCAGCAGCCGCGGUAAUAC
rnacentral:rRNA from 1 species